rnacentral:rRNA from 1 species
UACGGGGGGGGGCAAGGCGUUGUUCGGAAUUACUGGGCGUAAAGGGCUCGUAGGCGGCCAACUAAGUCAGACGUGAAAUCCCUCGGCUUAAGCCGGGGAACUGCGUCUGAUACUGGAUGGCUUGAGGUUGGGAGAGGGAAUGGCGGAAUUCCAGGUGUAGGCGGUAGAAAUGCGUAGAUAGUCUGGAGGAACACCGGUGGCGAAGGCGGCAUCCUGGACCAAUUCUGACGCUGAGGAGCGAAAGCCAGGGGAGGCAAACGGG